rnacentral:rRNA from 1 species
UACGAAGGGGGCUAGCGUUGUUCGGAAUUACUGGGCGUAAAGCGCACGUAGGCGGAAUGUUAAGUCAGGGGUGAAAUCCCGGGGCUCAACCCCGGAACUGCCUUUGAUACUGGCAUUCUCGAGUCCGGAAGAGGUGAGUGGAAUUCACGGUGUAGCAGUGAAAUGCGUAGAUAUCGUGAGGAAGACCAGUGGCGAAGGCGGAUCUCUGGACAGCUCCUGACGCUGAGGCGCGAAGGCUAGGGGAGCAAACGGG